UAGAAUCAUUGCAAAUCAAUUUGUAUGGUGAAAAUAUAUAAAGAAAUUCUCCAAUUCUCUGUUUCUACAUGGUAACAGAGCCUUGCCAAAAUUUUUUGGCUUGAACAGUAUAAUUCUAGGUAGUUUUUUUUUGUGGGUCAAGCUUCUACGUUGUUAUAGGAAGCGAGGUAACUGUCACCACCCACCUGCGGAGGAAGGACAACAACCGAUCGGCCUACGCCCGGAGUCCCGCCGCCGUCCGGCGAAGAACGUGAGCUCACGCGCCUCCAGAA
rnacentral:misc_RNA from 1 species